GCCAACGUCCAUACCACGUUGAAUACACCGGUUCUCGUCCGAUCACCGAAGUUAAGCAACGUCGGGCGCGGUCAGUACUUGGAUGGGUGACCGCCUGGGAAUUGCAUAUCUUUAUUUUCA
rnacentral:rRNA from 1 species